CUGUACUGUGGCAGGACCUUAAAGGGACAGCUGAUGCUUGAAAAUCCUCUAGUGUGGUUGGAUUUACACAUUUCUGUGCAGAAGAGUGGACCAGAAUCCCUCCACUGUUCUGUGAGAGACUGAUCUUCAGCCACUGGAAUCAGCCUAUUGAAAUUUACAUUUUUUCCACACAGGUGAGCUGUCAGCAGCACAAAAACAGUCCAGUCUACUCUGAGAGUGAACUACAGGAUGUCUCUGAUCUUCCAGCUUUCAGGCAUGAUGUUGACGCAGAAGGAUGAUGGAAUGAAGCAGCAUUAAAAUCUACAUUUCACAGAGCCACAGAAAGUAAUUUGAUUUGCCUACACUCACAUGCUUGAAGUUACGGAAGGGCACGAACUGGACGAUGUCUCGGAGGACGGGUUCUCCUUUGGGCGAGCGCAGAAUGCCGUCAUCGCCGUCCAGCAUCUGC